GCCAGGCACGGUGGUGCAUGCCUGUAAUCCCAGCAGCUUGGGAGGCUGAGCGAGGAGGAUCGUGAGAUCAAAAGACAGCUUCAGCAACAGCGAGGCACUAAGCAACUCAGUGAGACCCCAUCUCUA
rnacentral:sRNA from 1 species